UACAGGGGGGGCAAGCGUUGUUCGGAAUUACUGGGCGUAAAGGGCUCGUAGGUGGCCAACUAAGUCAGACGUGAAAUCCCUCAGCUUAACUGGGGAACUGCGUCUGAUACUGGAUGGCUUGAGUUUGGGAGAGGGAUGCGGAAUUCCAGGUGUAGCGGUGAAAUGCGUAGAUAUCUGGAGGAACACCGGUGGCGAAGGCGGCAUCCUGGACCAACACUGACACUCAGGAGCGAAAGCCAGGGGAGCAAACGGG
rnacentral:rRNA from 1 species